rnacentral:rRNA from 1 species
GGGUGCAAUCAUACCAGUACUAAUGCACUAGAUCCCAUCAGAACUCCGCAGUUAAGCGUGCUUGGGCGAGAGUAGUACUGGGAUGGGUGACCUCCUGGGAAGUUCUCGUGUUGCACCCC